AAAUCAGAUCUCGCUGUUCAUUCCUCUGAAAGUUCUGUAAAUGGUGCUACAGUAUUUUUACUGAAAGCCAAAGACAGGAGAAAGCAUCUCACUUAGAAGUGGUUUUAGAAGAUGGUUCCAAGAAGAUUUAGGAGGAGACUGCAGAGGCUUUCACAGCUUGUUCGUGUUGUGCAGCAGACUGUGAUAUCCCAUGGGCCACUGAGCAUUACAGUAACAUCAUUCAUUUGCAUUGUGGGGUGCUGCUGUGUCUCUUUCCCUCACACAAGACUGCCAGUUAUAACUCUAUGGAUUGUUUCCAAAAUCUGAAUAUGUUUGGCAAGCUUUCACAAUACCAUUAAGAGUUUGAUUACCUUUGUUCAUGUGUGCGGGGACUGCCUGUGUUUUUUUGCAGAAAUUUUGAAUGUAAACCUUUUUGUUCUCUGAAAUGUUUUGCUUUGCUGGAACUUCUGCUAUUAUAUCAUAUUUUUAAAAUUGUAAAGCAUUCACUUUCAUUUAAACUGCACUUUGUUAUACUUAGUGGUCCUUUGCUGUAGUUUAGUGUUUUUCAGUAGAGUCCACCAGUUUCCUCUGUUGAAGUCUAUAUUGUUUAAUGUGAGUUGCAGGAUUGAAUCCUAUCUCUAAAUACAAAGUUCAGGGACUCCCUUCAAAAAGAAAAUCUUGCUUCCAUUUUAAGUGUUUGUAUGUACAACAAUAACUAAUUUACUGUGUAGCACCACAUUUCUCAUGUAGUUUUUAGCCCCAUCUUAUGAACUAAUAUUUUAUUUCUUUAUCCUUUUGUUAAUUCAUAAUUAAUGAGACUGAAUUUUGGCUGGCAGCAAAUACCCCUUUGUCUGUGGCCCCUUCAGAUCUCAUGAGCUAAGUAUGGUCAGGCCUCAUCAAUGCUUGGAUUGGAGACCUACAAAUAAAAUCCAGAUGCUGCAGGAAA